UACGGGGGGGGCAAGCGUUGUUCGGAAUUACGGGGCGUAAAGGGCUCGUAGGCGGCCAACUAAGUCGGAUGUGAAAUCCCCAGGCUUAACCUGGGAACUGCAUCCGAUACUGUAUGGCUUGAAUCCGGGAGAGGGAUGCAGAAUUCCAGGUGUAGCGGUGAAAUGCGUAGAUAUCUGGAGGAAUACCGGUGGCGAAGGCGGCAUCCUGGACCGGCAUUGACGCUGAGUGAGCGAAAGCCAGGGGAGCAAACGGG
rnacentral:rRNA from 1 species